rnacentral:tRNA from 1 species
GGGAAGGCAUUCGGACCGGUGUCCGGCCUGGUCUUCAAAACCAGUGGGGGCUACCCCGAAGGUAGUCUCGGCGUGUUCGACUCGCGUGUCUUCCCGCCA